AGAAAUACCCUUAGUGAAGUUAUGUUAAAUGCUUUGUGUGGGUAAGUGGUAUUAGUUUUUAUUCAAAUAUGACCUUUAGUUUUGAAUAGUUGGAGGGAUAUAAUGCAAUCAAGCAUAAUAUAAUUGGUAAAAAGCCAAGGAUCAUUUCCCAAAAAGUAAGUAUUCCUUGUACUUUUUGAUAUUCUUUUAGUUAUAUGUAUUAAUUAGUAACUAUAUGGAUAUUAUUUUUAUUCGAGAAGACAACCCAACGACUAUUCUUGUGGAUAUUAU
rnacentral:lncRNA from 1 species